UACAGAGGGUGCGAGCGUUGUUCGGAAUUAUUGGGCGUAAAGCGCUUGUAGGCGGCACGUCAAGUCGCGUGUGAAAUCCCCAGGCUUAACCUGGGAAGUGCGCGCGAACUGACGAGCUUGAGUGCCGGAGAGGGUCGCGGAAUUCCCGGUGUAGAGGUGAAAUUCGAUAGAUAUCGGGAGGAACACCAGUGGCGAAGGCGGCGACCUGGACGGACACUGACGCUGAGACGCGAAAGCGUGGGGAGAAACAGGAUUGAG
rnacentral:rRNA from 1 species